UUGAUCCUGGCUCAGGAUGAACGCUAGCGACAGGCUUAACACAUGCAAGUCGAGGGGCAGCGGGGGCGUAGCAAUAUGCCUGCCGGCGACCGGCGCACGGGUGAGUAACACGUAUGUAACCUGCCCUAUGCAGGGGGAUAACCCGGAGAAAUCCGGCCUAAUACCGCGUAACACCUUUUGGGAGCAUUUCUGGGAGGUUAAAGGAGAGAUCCGGCAUAGGAUGGACAUGCGUCGCAUUAGGUAGACGGCGGGGUAACGGCCCACCGUGCCGACGAUGCGUAGGGGUUCUGAGAGGAAGGCCCCCCACACUGGUACUGAGACACGGACCAGACUCCUACGGGAGGCAGCAGUGAGGAAUAUUGGUCAAUGGCCGAGAGGCUGAACCAGCCAAGUCGCGUGAGGGAAGAAUGUCCUAAGGAUUGUAAACCUCUUUUGUCGGGGAGCAAAAAGGCUCUGCGGAGUCGUAUUGAGAGUACCCGAAGAAAAAGCAUCGGCUAACUCCGUGCCAGCAGCCGCGGUAAUACGGAGGAUGCGAGCGUUAUCCGGAUUUAUUUGGGUUUAAAGGGUGCGCAGGCGGCGUGUCAAGCAAGCGGUAAAAUAGCGGGGCUCAACCCCGUCGAGCCGUUUGAACUGGCGCGCUUGAGUUCAGGCGAGGUAGGCGGAAUUCGUGGUGUAGCGGUGAAAUGCAUAGAUAUCACGAAGAACUCCGAUUGCGAAGGCAGCUUACCAGUCUGCGACUGACGCUCAGGCACGAAAGUGUGGGUAUCGAACAGGAUUAGAUACCCUGGUAGUCCACACAGUAAACGAUGAGCGCUAGGUGUCCGGGUCGCAUGAGACUUGGGGAGCCCGAGCGAAAGCGUUAAGCGCUCCACCUGGGGAGUACGCCGGCAACGGUGAAACUCAAAGGAAUUGACGGGGGCCCGCACAAGCGGAGGAACAUGUGGUUUAAUUCGAUGAUACGCGAAGGAACCUUACCCGGGCUCAAACGACUCAGGAAUAUAUUGGAAACGAUGUAGCCAGCAAUGGUCUGAGUCGAGGUGCUGCAUGGUUGUCGUCAGCUCGUGCCGUGAGGUGUCGGCUUAAGUGCCAUAACGAGCGCAACCCCUACCGCCAGUUGCCAACGGGUAAAGCCGGGAACUCUGGCGGGACUGCCGGCGCAAGCUGCGAGGAAGGCGGGGAUGACGUCAAAUCAGCACGGCCCUUACGUCCGGGGCGACACACGUGUUACAAUGGCAGGUACAGCGGGAAGCCACCUGGUGACAGGGAGCGGAACCCGAAAGCCUGUCUCAGUUCGGAUUGGAGUCUGCAACUCGACUCCAUGAAGCUGGAUUCGCUAGUAAUCGCGCAUCAGCCAUGGCGCGGUGAAUACGUUCCCGGGCCUUGUACGCACCGCCCGUCAAGCCAUGGGAGCCGGGGGUGCCUGAAGUACGUGACCGCGAGGAGCGUCNUAGGGCAAAACUGGUGACUGGGGCUAAGUCGUAAACAAGGUAAC
rnacentral:rRNA from 1 species